CUUUAGAAAUCAAGCAUAUCGUUAAAAUUUGAAUGCCUUUUCAAUUGCACAUAUGCUGAACCGUAGUACGUGAAAUAUUGAUGGGGUGCAUAUAUUAGAAAAAGGAGACCUUUAGAAAUUGAAAUAACGUUUAAACAAAAGAUUGUCUGCUCCUGGGAACAAUCUGCCAUGCAUACUGUACGUAGAUCGCAUGUUACGCACUCGUCAGUCGUGGGCUAAGCAAAGUGCCCCAGGAUUCAAA
rnacentral:lncRNA from 1 species